rnacentral:rRNA from 1 species
GAUGAACGCUGGCGGCGUGCCUAAUACAUGCAAGUCGAGCGAACAGACGAGGAGCUUGCUCCUCUGACGUUAGCGGCGGACGGGUGAGUAACACGUGGAUAACCUACCUAUAAGACUGGGAUAACUUCGGGAAACCGGAGCUAAUACCGGAUAAUAUAUUGAACCGCAUGGUUCAAUAGUGAAAGACGGUUUUGCUGUCACUUAUAGAUGGAUCCGCGCCGCAUUAGCUAGUUGGUAAGGUAACGGCUUACCAAGGCAACGAUGCAUAGCCGACCUGAGAGGGGGAGAGGAAAAAGUGGAAGAGAGACAAGGAACAGAAAAGUACGGGAGGGAGAAGGAGGGAAAAGUGAGAAAUGGGAGAAAAGAAGAAGGAGCAAAGAGGAGUGAGAGAAAAAGGUAUAGGGAGCGUAAAAAAAUGUAAUGAGGGAAGAAAAAAAGUGGAAGAAAAAAUGGAGGAAAAGAGGGUAAAAAAUAAGAAAGAAAAGGGUAAGAAAGAG